GACGAACGCUGGCGGCGUGCUUAACACAUGCAAGUCGAACGGAAAGGUCCUGCUUUUGUGGGGUGCUCGAGUGGCGAACGGGUGAGUAACACGUGAGUAACCUGCCCUUGACUGUGGGAUAACUUCAGGAAACUGGGGCUAAUACCGGCUAGGAGCUCCUGCUGCAUGGUGGGGGUUGGAAGGUUUCGGCGGUUGGGGAUGGACUCGCGGCUUAUCAGCUUGUUGGUGGGGUAGUGGCUUACCAAGGCUUUGACGGGUAGCCGGCCUGAGAGGGUGACCGGCCACAUUGGGACUGAGAUACGGCCCAGACUCCUACGGGAGGCAGCAGAGGGGAAUAUUGCACAAUGGGCUGAAGCCUGAUGCAGCAACGCCGCGUGCGGGAUGACGGCCUUCGGGUUGUAAUCCGCUUUCGCCUGUGACGAAGCGUGAGUGACGGUAAUGGGUAAAGAAGCACCGGCUAACUACGUG
rnacentral:rRNA from 1 species